rnacentral:rRNA from 1 species
CACGUAGGGCGCAAGCGUUGUCCGGAAUUAUUGGGCGUAAAGAGCUCGUAGGCGGUCUGUUGCGUCUGCUGUGAAACUCGGGGCUUAACCCCGAGCCUGCAGUGGAUACGGGCAGACUAGAGGUAGGUAGGGGAGAAUGGAAUUCCUGAUGUAGCGGUGGUGAAUGCGCAGAUAUCAGGAGGAACACCGGUGGCGAAGGCGGUUCUCUGGACAGUUCCUGACACUGAGACACGAAGGCCAGGGGAGCAAACGGG